AGAUGGGGGAGUUACUGUGCCCAGGUGGGUGAGCUUGCACUUCCCUCCCCCUGAACUGUUCUCCAAAUCCCCACCGAGACAGUUCAGGGUUUCUUCCAAAGUUUGUUGGGAUGGAGACUGCCCCAGGCCUCAGGGUCAGCGUAAUGAGCCCAAGACAGAGCGGGUCUGGAUCCUUGACCCCAAGCUCGAGAGCUGCCCCACCAGGAGUAAACUGUUGCUGUGUUGAUCCUAACAUCCAGGGGUUUCUCUGGUUGAGCAACUGAGCUGCCUUAAACUACUGCUGUUCCAAAUCGGGGGCCAGCCGUGACUGCGUGGGAUGCAGACCUUUCUCCCCAGCAGGAGAGCUCGCCGUGAGUUAGCAGAGGGGCCGGCAGGUUCAGGACAGGAAGCAGUAUGGAGGGGCGCUGGUGACAGCCGUGACUAGGGUGCCGGGAGCACCAGGAGGAAGCGGGACAGGGUGAGCGCGUGCAGCCCCUUUGCCAUCUGCCUCCCCCUCCUCACACACACUGGCCCAGCCUGAGCCCCGCGGCAGGUGCCAGGCCUGGGGAGAGCACUGGAGCAGGGCCUGGGCUUGGCAAGCCUCCCUCCCAGCGCCUGUGAGCCUGGCUUUGUUUGGAAACUGAGUCACUGAAGACGUGACUAGGUUAGAGGAGGUCACCCCGGAGCAGGCUGGGCUCCUCACCCAGGGUGACUGGUGCCCUGAUGCGAAGGGGGCGAGCCACAGAGACGGACCACGUGCAGACAGAGGCGGGGAUCCGGCCGAGGACCCUGAAGACCGUCUGCAGCACCGGAAGCUGCAAGGAGCCUCCCUGCGGGCUCGGGGGGCGCAGGGCCCUGCUGAGCGGCAGUUCUGAGCUCCAGGCUCUAGGGUGCGGGAGAGCAGCCUCCCGCCUGAGAGCCCCUGAGUGGUUGUUGUCACUGCGGCCCCGGGAGAUGGAGACAGUGAGGAACGAGGAACAGGCUGGCGGGAACCGGUCAGCAGCAGAGGCCCAACCCCACUGCCCCUGAGACACAGGGAGUGGGCAGCCCGGACCACCUGCUCGUGGCCCGGGGAGAGGCCACACGCCCGCCCGGCAAGGCCACGGCCACCGCAGCCGGCACCCUCCGCAGAGGAGGGGAGAGGAUGUCCAGAGUCAGCCGUCCUGCCCUGCCUGAAGGAUCUCCACCCACACCCGG
ensembl:lncRNA